GCGGAGGGAUCAUUACUGAGUUACCGCUCUAUAACCCUUUGUGAACAUACCUACAACUGUUGCUUCGGCGGGUAGCCCGUCCCCUGAAAAGGACGCCUCCCGGCCCGGACCGGACCCCCGCGGGACCGGACCCGGCGCCCGCCGGAGGAUAACCAAACUCUAUUGUAACGACGUUUCUUCUGAGUGGCAUAAGCAAAAUAAUCAAAACUUUUAACAACGGAUCUCUUGGUUCUGGCAUCGAUGAAGAACGCAGCGAAAUGCGAUAAGUAAUGUGAAUUGCAGAAUUCAGUGAAUCAUCGAAUCUUUGAACGCACAUUGCGCCCGCCAGCAUUCUGGCGGGCAUGCCUGUUCGAGCGUCAUUUCAACCCUCAAGCUCUGCUUGGUGUUGGGGCUCUACGGUCGACGUAGGCCCUCAAAGGUAGUGGCGGACCCUCCCGGAGCCUCCUUUGCGUAGUAACAUUUCGUCUCGCACUGGGAUCCGGAGGGACUCUUGCCGUAAAAGCCACCAAUUUUCCAAAGGUUGAACUCGGAUCAGGUAGGAAUACCCGGUUAACUUAAGCAUAUCAAU
rnacentral:rRNA from 1 species